GUGGGGAAUAUUGGACAAUGGGCGAAAGCCUGAUCCAGCCAUGCCGCGUGUGUGAAGAAGGUCUUCGGAUUGUAAAGCACUUUAAGUUGGGAGGAAGGGCAGUAAGUUAAUACCUUGUUGUUUUGACGUUACCAACAGAAUAAGCACCGGCUAACUUCGUGCCAGCAGCCGCGGUAAUACGAAGGGUGCAAGCGUUAAUCGGAAUUACUGGGCGUAAAGCGCGCGUAGGUGGUUCAGCAAGUUGGAGGUGAAAUCCCCGGGCUCAACCUGGGAACUGCCUCCAAAACUACUGAGCUAGAGUACGGUAGAGGGUAGUGGAAUUUCCUGUGUAGCGGUGAAAUGCGUAGAUAUAGGAAGGAACACCAGUGGCGAAGGCGACUACCUGGACUGAUACUGACACUGAGGUGCGAAAGCGUGGGGAGCAAACAGGAUUAGAUACCCUAGUAGUCC
rnacentral:rRNA from 1 species